UAAUCAAAUAUAUCAAAGCCUAUGCUCACCUUUAAUCUUCUUUCAACAGAUGUACAUCAUACAGCAUAGCUGAUAGCUGGAAUCGCCCACAACCACCAUCUUUUUCCUUACUGUUUUUAGAUCUGUUUUGAACUCUGUGUAGUUGUGACUCGUCUUUUUCUUUUCUUUUCUUUUUUGUCACUUUGUUAUUACUUCUACAGCACCAAGCAGUGGCGAAGAUACCGAUGAAAGGCUAAUUAAGAUCUACUCUGGUUCGCUGAUAUUCAGAAGUUUCUAAACACAUUCCUGAUGGGAAAGAGAGCAGGAAUAGAGGUCUGAGUGGCAGAUGAUCGUUAUCUUCUGUGCACAAUUUUAAUCCAAGGGACUGGAAGGAGAAGGGAGAUGAAUAUUUCCAGCAUUUGGCCCUCAAAAUCUCAAACAAUUGUUUCUGGGCAUCCAACUCCCCUCUCUCCUAUUAGACUGAACAGCAUCUACAGACUUGAAGUGCCUAGGAACUAAGACUGAUCUACAGGUAGUAUCAUAACUACGGGUGGGUGAUUGAGUCACCAGUCCCAAGCAUUGAUUCAGAAGGGCCACCACAAUGUACAGCAGCAGCUGUAACAGGAACAGUUGCCAGCACGCAAAGGCCCAUACAACAGCAGCAGCAGUCUCAGCAUGAAGGAAGACUCUAUUGCAGAAGCUGGGUUGCCUUAUGGUUGCAGAUCAUGCAGGCUCUUUUGUAGCCUGACAGACAAACUGACAGGAAGCAAGAAGUGUUUCCAGUAGAGCACUCCUUAACAAGGUAUCCUACCUUGUAUCAAAGAGGAGGUACAGCUAUGGUGUACUUGGAAACACAUGCUGUCAAAAACACUUGUCUCUUU
rnacentral:lncRNA from 1 species